rnacentral:lncRNA from 1 species
UCUAUCUUGCAUAUACUACAUGCAUUAAAAACAGUUGAAUUGAAUGAGAGUAAUGAAUUGUGAGUAUAGAAGAGGUUUGUAUAUUGAUAACUGUGGUGGUGGCAGUGGAAGCAGCUGAUGGGGACUCAUCUCAGCAGAACAUGUCCAAAAAUCAACAAAAUGGUCAUCAUCAGGUGAAAACCAAAUGUUGUUUCAAUCAAUUUGUUUUCCUGUUAAAAAAGAAAGAUUGAAAAAAGAAAGUAAAGGAAGAAGCAAAGUUGGUAUGAAUGCAGUUUAAAAAUUCUGAAAUUCUGAUUUUACAGGUGCCGAAUUUUGGGCACUCUCCAAAUCCACGGAGAGAAUGUAUGAAUCAAAUCCUGAAAUUUGCAGUUGGUCAGUAUUUUUGUUGCUUCCUUUAUGUUGUGCAUUUAGAUGACAUUAUUCUCAUGUUUUGCCUGUUAGAUGUGUGAAGUCUGGUGCAGAAAGGAACAUCUCAGAAUAUGAACCAAAGCCUAGACAACCUCAAUCUGUCCCUCGUAGAGAACUCUAUCUAGACGACCACAAUCAGUUCCUAAAUCUGCUUCUUCUCCUCCUAGUGUACUGACUUCUGAACUGAACUUUUUAUACAUACAAAUGCACAUUACGCAUCAUUGAUUUGUGUGCGUAAAUGGAUGGUUGUGCCUGUUAAAAAUUUGUUGGUUCAUCUUUUAA